UUGAAUGUAUAAACCAUAUCAAUUUACUAAUCCUCAAAUCAAAGUUAAUCACGUGGUACCAGUACUAGAUAACAACUCUACACAUUGAGUUAAAAAAAAAAUCACAUUCUCACAUAGUAACAAUAAUCACUUAAUAAUAAUAUCACAACCGACCCUAAAAAAAUUAUAAAAAAUAAACUUUUGAUCUAACUAACUCCAAUCCAAUCCCAUUAAUCCACUUUCCAUCGAAAAUUUGACCGCCACGUCAUCACCUGGCACACGAGCCAAAAUUAAUAUUAGAUGAGAUCAAGUGAUCAACCGUAUAUUUUUAAUUAAUUUUUUUUAAUUUAUUAAUUUUUUUAAAAUAUUAAAAAUAAGAAAAGAAAACGUAUCAAAAUUUGGCAUAAAUAGAGUAGUUGAUUGAAGAUGCUCCUCUACUAGUAAUUCUCUACCUUAUCACAAGAAACGAAUGAUUCACAUUCUCUAAACACUCAACACAACAAAACAC
rnacentral:lncRNA from 1 species